UAAUCCCUUGAUCGACUGAAGUGGAUUUGCGUCCGACACGGGCGCCUCAUCCACCCCGUGUCGCACCAGACCCGCUCGGUUGUCCCCCCGAGCGGGUC
rfam:Tardiphaga sp. Vaf07 contig_20, whole genome shotgun sequence.